rnacentral:rRNA from 1 species
UACGUAGGGUGCGAGCGUUAAUCGGAAUUACUGGGCGUAAAGCGUGCGCAGGCGGUGCGUUGUGUCGGUGGUGAAAUCCCCGGGCUUAACCUGGGAACUGCCAUCGAAACUGGCGUACUAGAGUGUGGCAGAAGGGGGUGGAAUUCCGCGUGUAGCAGUGAAAUGCGUAGAUAUGCGGAGGAACACCGAUGGCGAAGGCAGCCCCCUGGGCUAACACUGACGCUCAGGCACGAAAGCGUGGGGAGCAAACAGG